rnacentral:other from 1 species
UACAAGCUACAUUGUGCGUAUUUAAUUAAGUUUUAACCUCUAAUCGAAUAAUAGGGAGUUUUACAUCGGAAUCCUAAUGCCGGGCCGUCAACUGGAACGGAAGGCAGGAAGAUUUCUGCGAACACCCACUUUGUGAAGUGGUGGUUUAAAACUUUUUAUUAUAUAAAUACGGCAAUUGUGGCUGUAC